rnacentral:rRNA from 1 species
GACGAACGCUGGCGGCGUGCUUAACACAUGCAAGUCGAACGGAAAGGCCCUGCUUUGGUGCGGAGGUCGAGUGGCGAACGGGUGAGUAACACGUGGGUAACCUGCCCCUGACCGUGGGAUAACUUCAGGAAACUGGGGCUAAUACCGGAUAGGAGCUCCUGCUGCAUGGUGGGGGCUGGAAAGUUUCGGUGGUUGGGGAUGGACCCGCGGCUCAUUAGCUAGAUGGUAGGGUAGUGGCCUAGCAAGGCGACGACCCGUAGCUGGUGUGAGAGGAUGAGCAGCCACACUGGGACUGAGACACGGCCCAGACUCCGACGGGAGGCAGCAGUGGGGAAUAUUGGACAAUGGGCGAAAGCCUGAUCCAGCAAUGCCGCGUGAGUGAUGAAGGCCUUAGGGUUGUAAAGCUCUUUUACCCGGGAUGAUAAUGACAGUACCGGGAGAAUAAGCGCCGGCUAACUCCGUG